GUUUUGCUUAUUAAAAAAUGAAAAGAGGAGAGCAAGAUGAAAGAAAAAGAGAAAUUCCAAGGGGAAAAUCAAUGGAAUAGGAAGACUGCUUAUGCUACAGGAGAUUAUUUCAUGCAUAGAUACAUUUCACCAGUUGGACUGCAUGGGGUGAUUCACAGUGACAGCAUACUGCUGUUAUGGACACCUCGAAGAGAGAGGUCUAAUGCAUUCACACUCUGAUGAGCCAUAAGGGGAUACUGUUGCAGAUGAUGGCACAUCUCCCCAGAAGCCUUUGGCCUGAAUUUAGCGGGAUACGCCAAGUCUCAAGGCCUGUAUCUUCUGUGUUCUCAGUUCUCAAACUGAAGAGUUUGAUCAAACUCUCACUGGAAUCUAAAGCAUAUGGAAUAAUGCCUGAAGAUGGAGCUGUUUACAAACUUCUGCGGGAUAAAAGGGAACCUAUUUGCAACACAGACUUCACAGAAACAAGCAUUGUAGUUACUUUUAUCAGAGUUUGCCCUUCCAGAUUAAUGGUGUUGAACUUCUCAUGCUGACCAGAGGGAGCCCAGGAAGAGAUGAAAAGCACACAAUCUACAGAGCAAUAGAGCCUCUCCCACAUGUUCUUGUACAACUUAUAAAAUAUAGUUUUCAUGCUGAGAUGCUAGAGCAGUUCCUGAAAAACCAACUCGCCGAAACACCAAAUAUUUUUAUGACCACAAAAGGUGUUUGCUGCAGACUCAUUCAGGAAGCUCUAAAGUGGGAAUAAAAAUCUACAAAAUUCAAAGUUUAAUACAUGCUUUCCUAUAGCUUUGGCCACUGACACAGCUACUGUCUAUUUCAUACUGAGAAAAAGCUUUGACAAUUUAUUUGAGAACUAAAAGUGCAAUUCCUGCAGGAGGGAGAACCCAGGCCUUGGAAAUUUGACAGUGGGAGAAAUGGAAAACGACUUCUAGCAUGGAAAUUCUUAUGUUACUGCUACACAUUUUUUCUAUGUAAACAAAGGAAAGAUAUAUAUUGAAAUAAUUAAACUCAAUUAAGUUGUUGUAAUGUUAUUUUAAACACUAAGAUUUCAUUUGCAUUAAUGAUUUAGCUACAUGUAUGUACAUGGUGUGAUCCCUCCCUGCAAAACUUAGUAAUUAUGCCUGGCUUAGACAGUAAUGACAGUAAAGCAUUGCCUGAAGGAAAGAUAUUGAAUUUGAAAUUAUUUUAUUGAAGCAGAAUAUUGAUUUUGGUUUUUUUUCUAGCAAGUUUUACUGCUUGUACACUAGAUUUUUUUGCAUUGUCUUUACUGAUGAAGGUAUAGAUUACUCUGCUGCAAGAGCAGAAAUCUAAUACUAGUUACAAGUCUUUUAUGUUCACAUUUCAACCUUCUGUUGCAGUUUGAGGUGUAUUUUCCUCUCCCACAUAAUGUAAUAAACAUCUACAAAACAUGCUGUCUUCUGUGUUUUUUCCCUCAAGAAAACCCAAUAAAGUUGCCUUAAAUGGUCUUCUAGCUUUCCAUCCCUUUCCACUACCUGUAAUAGAAAUCUGUAAUGAUGUUCAACUUGGUGCAUUUUCUGC
ensembl:lncRNA